GACGAACGCUGGCGGCGUGCCUAAUACAUGCAAGUCGAGCGGACGGAUGGGAGCUUGCUCCCAGACCGUCAGCGGCGGCCGGGGGAGUAACACGUGGGCAACCUGCCUGUAAGACUGGGAUAACUCCGGGAAACCGGGGCAAAUACCGGAAAACUCUCUCUCUCACAUGAGGGAAAGCGGAAAGAUGGCAUCUCGCUAUCACUUACAGAUGGGCCCGCGGCGCUUGAGCUAGUUGGGGGGGUAACGGCUCACCAAGGUGGCGAUGCGGAGCCGACGUGAGGGGGUGGUCGGCGACACUGGAGCUGAGACGCGCCCCAGGCUCCUACGGGACGCACCAGUAUGGAAUCUGCCGCAGUGGACGAAAGUCUUGCGGAACAGCGCCGCGUGAGUUAUGAAAGCUUUCGGAUCGUAAAACUCUGUUGUCAGGUGAGAACAAGUACCGGAGUAACUGCCGGUAGCUUGACGGUACCUGGCCAGAAAGCCCCGGCUAACUACGUG
rnacentral:rRNA from 1 species